GGGGCUGUAGUUGAAUGGCAAAAUACAUGCUUACAAUGUGUGAGGGCCUAGGUUCAAUUCCAAGUACCACCA
rnacentral:tRNA from 1 species